rnacentral:rRNA from 1 species
AGUGAACGCUGGCGGUAGGCCUAACACAUGCAAGUCGAACGGCAGCACAGUAAGAGCUUGCUCUUACGGGUGGCGAGUGGCGGACGGGUGAGGAAUACAUCGGAAUCUACUUUUUCGUGGGGGCUAACGUAGGGAAACUUACGCUAAUAACGCAUACGACCUACGGGUGAAAGCAGGGGACCUUCGGACCUUGCGCGAUUGAAUGAGCCGAUGUCGGCUUAGCUAGUUGGCGGGGUAAAGGCCCACCAAGGCGACGAUCCGUAGCUGGUCUGAGAGGAUGAUCAGCCACACUGGAACUGAGACACGGUCCAGACUCCUACGGGAGGCAGCAGUGGGGAAUAUUGGACAAUGGGCGCAAGCCUGAUCCAGCCAUACCGCGUGGGUGAAGAAGGCCUUCGGGUUGUAAAGCCCUUUUGUUGGGAAAGAAAAGCAGCAGGUUAAUACCCCGCUGUUCUGACGGUACCCAAAGAAUAAGCACCGGCUAACUUCGUG